GACGUAGGGCGCGAGCGUUGUCCGGAUUUAUUGGGCGUAAAGAGCUCGUAGGCGGCUUGUCGCGUCGACUGUGAAAACCCGAGGCUCAACUUCGGGCUUGCAGUCGAUACGGGCAGGCUAGAGUUCGGUAGGGGAGACUGGAAUUCCUGGUGUAGCGGUGAAAUGCGCAGAUAUCAGGAGGAACACCGAUGGCGAAGGCAGGUCUCUGGGCCGGUACUGACGCUGAGACGCGAAAGCGUGGGGAGCAAACAGG
rnacentral:rRNA from 1 species